rnacentral:rRNA from 1 species
GUGUCAGCCGCCGCGGUAAUACGGGGGGGGCAAGCGUUGUUCGGAAUUACUGGGCGUAAAGGGUUCGUAGGUGGCCUGCUAAGUCAGACGUGAAAUCCCUCAGCUUAACUGGGGAACUGCGUCUGAGACUGGCGGGCUUGAGGGUCGGAGAGGAACGCGGAAUUCCAGGUGUAGCGGUGAAAUGCGUAGAUAUCUGGAGGAACACCGGUGGCGAAGGCGGCGUUCUGGACGGCUUCUGACACUGAGGAACGAAAGCCAGGGGAGCAAACGGGAUUAGAAACCCCAGUAGUCC